rnacentral:rRNA from 1 species
AGUGAACGCUGGCGGUAGGCCUAACACAUGCAAGUCGAACGGCAGCACAGUAAGAGCUCGCUCUUACGGGUGGCGAGUGGCGGACGGGUGAGGAAUACAUCGGAAUCUACUUUUUCGUGGGGGAUAACGUAGGGAAACUUACGCUACUACCGCAUACGACCUACGGGUGAAAGCAGGGGUUCUUCGGACCUUGCGCGAUUGAAUGAGCCGAUGUCGGAUUAGCUAGUUGGCUGGGUAAAGGCCCACCAAGGCGACGAUCCGUAGCUGGUCUGAGAGGAUGAUCAGCCACACUGGAACUGAGACACGGUCCAGACUCCUACGGGAGGCAGCAGUGGGGAAUAUUGGACAAUGGGCGCAAGCCUGAUCCAGCCAUACCGCGUGGGUGAAGAAGGCCUUCGGGUUGUAAAGCCCUUUUGUUGGGAAAGAAAAGCAGCAGGUUAAUACCCCGCUGUUCUGACGGUACCCAAAGAAUAAGCACCGGCUAACUUCGUG